ACACUCCUGCGGGAGGCAGCAGUGGGGAAUUUUGGACAAUGGGCGAAAGCCUGAUCCAGCAAUGCCGCGUGUGUGAAGAAGGCCUUCGGGUUGUAAAGCACUUUUGUCCGGAAAGAAAUCCUUGGCUCUAAUACAGUCGGGGGAUGACGGUACCGGAAGAAUAAGCACCGGCUAACUACGUGCCAGCAGCCGCGGUAAUACGUAGGGUGCGAGCGUUAAUCGGAAUUACUGGGCGUAAAGCGUGCGCAGGCGGUUUGCUAAGACCGAUGUGAAAUCCCCGGGCUCAACCUGGGAACUGCAUUGGUGACUGGCAGGCUAGAGUAUGGCAGAGGGGGGUAGAAUUCCACGUGUAGCAGUGAAAUGCGUAGAGAUGUGGAGGAAUACCGAUGGCGAAGGCAGCCCCCUGGGCCAAUACUUACGCUCAUGCACGAAAGCGUGGGGAGCAAACAGGAUUAGAAACCCCGGUAGUCCC
rnacentral:rRNA from 1 species